rnacentral:rRNA from 1 species
CCAAAAGCUGGCGACCGGCGCAUGGGUGAGUAACACGUAUCCAACCUGCCUCAUACUCGGGGAUAGCCUUUCGAAAGAAAGAUUAAUAUCCGAUAGCAUAUAUUUCCCGCAUGGGUUUUAUAUUAAAGAAAUUCGGUAUGAGAUGGGGAUGCGUUCCAUUAGUUUGUUGGGGGGGUAACGGCCCACCAAGACUACGAUGGAUAGGGGUUCUGAGAGGAAGGUCCCCCACAUUGGAACUGAGACACGGUCCAA